rnacentral:lncRNA from 1 species
CACAAUCAAGUACUUCCCAUCUGGGGUGAACCUAAGAGGAAAGAGAAUUCAAUAGUAAGGACCACUCUACACUGUGUGCCCUUGGCUGCAGGGAACCCUGGAGGGGACUGGCUUAGACCUGGAGAGGCAUGCGGCAGUUUUUCAGGUUAGAAUGCAUGGCUCCUGGGGCACAAUGUGCCUUCUGCCUUCCUGUUCCUGAGAGACUCCAACACUCCCUCAGGCAGGGAAGGUUUCCGGCCGCUUUGUAUUUCUCGGUAUGUUCCCUUGGAAGGCAAGGGAGCAUGGAAGCUAACCGGACAGUUGGCCUUAGACAUUAACCUGGUGUGGCCUGUAAAGGUGGCAAACAUCUAUGUAUCCUGACUACAACUGUAUUGAUCCUGGCAACUGCCAUUGCACUCUACUUCUGAUAAAGGUAUAGAAGGUCUGAUUGCUCUCAAUAAAACUGCCACAGCUUAAGUUUUGCUGUGGACCCUUCAACUGGCCUGGUUUCAUUCCUUGUGGCCCUAUCAGGUGAUCAUGGACCAGUACUUAUUGGCAGGUAAGUAAGUGUGGGGUGCUUACACUCACCAAAGCUCAACAACUGUGGCUAUCACUGUCUAAGGGAUUCUUUAAUGAAUUUAAAUUGUAUAGAAUUCUGUGAUAAUAGAUGAAGCUAAAGAUAUGCCUACGUUAAAACAAAACGCAACAUAACAUAAUGAAAGGAGAUUUAGAAGUUGGGCAGGUUCAACAGUGUGAACUCUGGCUUUGAUCCUCCUGGUGAGAAAUCUCUCAAAGGAUUUGGAAAUCUCAGAUAUCUAACAUCUUUGGACUCGUUUCCUUCCAUUUUCCCUUGCUUAAAAUUAACAACAAACACUUUAAACUUUCAGCCACUCUUCAGAAGAAGUGGGUGGCGCAACCAUAUAAAGCAAGCAUUUAAAACAACCAGCAGUGAUUACCUCACAGCAGAAGGCCCCUCCUCCGUGAAACAGUUGUCCCAUGCUCCUAGCCACUCUCCAGUGUCCUUAUCAAAUACUUGGAGCCUUUUAUUUCCUCGAUCAGCAACCCACACCUGAGAAACCAAACAUUCAGGUCAAUGGGAAGAGACCCAGGUUUAUCAGCUGCACAUACACAGUCUCAGUGCUCAGAGGACCCCAGAGAAGAUGGCAUCACUCCGCUCCCUUUUCAGAGGGCAAACACCUUGUCGGCAAAGCACUAGGACUUGCAAACGCUACAGUCUAAUGAACACCGGCCUCAGGUGGCCUAAAGGGACAGAGCCAUCAACCUCAUUAAACAUGAAAGUAGAAAGAAACCUGCGUCCUCCACACAGUGCAAAAGAUCAGAGACUCUGACAAGGCACAGGCCCUUCCAUCACUUUAACUCUCGUCACCAUCACUGACAACUGAGGCAGCUCCUAAGCCAGGUACAAGACAAAGAAAAAAUCUCUGGACACCUGCUUUAGAGACCAAGUUCAUCCCUAAGGACAGACUCGCCAGAAAUAGCUCCCAGCAUUUUGCAUAUUUUAGAACACAUUUGGACCAUCUCUGUCUUACUGAAAAACCCUCAGACUCCUAGCAGAGCACAACUCUAAAAUCCUCAGAGCAGCUUAAAUGGCUGCCACCUUUCCUUCUGGCCGCUGAGAAAGCCAUGCUGUUUCCAUUCCAGCUCAGGGUUCCCAUGGACCUGGACACCACCACCCCUGCUGGCCCUGUCUACAGCUCAGCCAAGGUUGGCCUCUUCAGGAACUCUGCUGUGCCUCUCCAAUUCCUGUUUGUCUUCUGGUUCCCAUCCUAUCUCGAAAGUCUCUGUCACAGAUGAGUUUAACUGCUCUGUUAGGAACAGACCUGCCGCUGUGGUGGCCACGGAGGGCCUUCCUGUUAGCCUGCAGGAAGCCUGCCAGGGAUCUGGCUUCCUGACUUCCCCACAAUAAACAGGACAGAAAAUC